AAUUAAAUUCAAAUAUAAAUCAGUAUCGUUUGCACUAGAAGAGUACUAUUGUUUCUAUGACUUGAUAUAAAAAUCAUUUUCUUUCUUUUUUUUUUUGGCGUGGUGACUGCCGUUAACCAUCCGAUGUGCCCGGAUGAGUACGUUUUAUGCAGGACUCUGUAACACUGAUUAAGCCCUUCUCAAGAAACGACCUUCCAUUCUUCUCUCCUCUGUAAUGUAAUCGCAUCAGGGGCAACCGGCGCCGACGAUGGUCAAUCUGCUCCUCCAGGCUUCGUCCUGGGCAUGCAGUUUACUCAGUAAUCGCACCGUUGGACAGUAGAGGAGAGAAAAUACUGCGAAUAUUGCAUGCAUUGUAUUGAGCCUUGAAGACCGAUA
rnacentral:lncRNA from 1 species